rnacentral:lncRNA from 1 species
CCUCUUCCCCGCCUGCUUUGACCGCCAUCCCAGCUUCCCUUUGGGGUUCGUCUCGCCCUCUGCAGAGGGAGGGGUCAGGCGCGGGCGGCAGCCCAGGAGCAGGAGCGCGAGGACCAGCGGACCCCGCGCGGCGACUCGGGGGCACCGGCUUUUGUCUUUCGUUUCUUGGGGCUGAGCACCCGAGGGCGCCUUUCUCCCCUUCUUGGACUCGGGGAAUCCGGCUCACCCCGCCCUUGCCUCUUAGCCUCAUUCUGGAAGCUUCUCGCUUCGGUUCCUGGACGGUUCUUCCCCAGGGCGCGCCAUGAGCCCUGGGGUGCUGCCCAUCUCCCCCCUUCUCCUCCGAGGCAAAGGGUGCUCUGCGAGUCUGUUUGGGACGCGGGAGCCUUUGGGGACCCCGGGCGUCGAGUGCCCCCUGCGGCCGCGGCGGGCCCCCUCGCCGGGCUGGAACAAGCGCGCGUUUGUGGCCGAGGUUAUUAUUUCAGAGAAGUGGACAAGGAGGAUGUGUGGUCGGCCAAGAAGAGAAAAUAGGAAGAGGCCCUUCUAGAGUGAAGAAGAUGAGAAAUAAUCCAGAGUAGGAUCACUCAGACGUGGUGGGUUCCAACCACAAGUUGAGAUUUUACAAAAAGAAAAAAGAAAGAAGACGAAGACCCGUUAGGGUAUUAAUGGCC